UUUUAAGCUUGUUGCUUUUAUAGCGUGCCAUUAGGCCAGUCUUACAAGAACCUCCAUGGAGAUUGGAGAAUGGAACUUGCUGUGAUGAAGAGCAAGGUCAUUCCAAAGAUGUUCUAUGAAGACUCCGCCAGUAUUGACUUCUAAGCCGGUUUCAGCACCAUUGGCAGCAGAUGAAAGGACUAUCAGUUCUGAAUUCUGGAGCUCAGCUCAGUCAACCCUUCCUCGUGCCCUGGUGUCCUCAGUGAUGUGGGAGGCCUCGUGAGGACUUCUCAGCAGGCCAGCCUACGUGCGGUGUGAUGACCUGAAAACCCAGCCAUCUGCAGGCUCUGUGACGUGGGCAUGAGUCACCCGGCUCUCUAAAUGUGACAGUCUACAAGAUUGCAAGGAUUUUCCUUCUUGUCUUUGACCUCAAUCAGAAUUUUAUGAUGAAGUUCAGGGAUGUCUACAAAUGACUUAAAAUUUGGAAAUCUGUA